UGAUCCUGGCUCAGAUUGAACGCUGGCGGCAGGCCUAACACAUGCAAGUCGAACGGUAGCAUAUCUUGCUUGCAAGAUGAUGACGAGUGGCGGAUGGGUGAGUAAUACUUAGGAACAUGCCUUUGAGUGGGGGAUAACUAUUGGAAACGAUAGCUAAUACCGCAUAACGUCUACGGACCAAAGGGGGCUUCGGCUCUCGCUCAGAGAGUGGCCUAAGCGAGAUUAGCUAGUUGGUGAGGUAAAGGCUCACCAAGGCGACGAUCUCUAGCUGUUCUGAGAGGAAGAUCAGCCACACUGGGACUGAGACACGGCCCAGACUCCUACGGGAGGCAGCAGUGGGGAAUAUUGCACAAUGGGGGGAACCCUGAUGCAGCCAUGCCGCGUGUGUGAAGAAGGCCUUCGGGUUGUAAAGCACUUUCAGUUGUGAGGAAAGGUUAGUAGUUAAUACCUGCUAGCUGUGACGUUAGCAACAGAAGAAGCACCGGCUAACUCCGUGCCAGCAGCCGCGGUAAUACGGAGGGUGCGAGCGUUAAUCGGAAUUACUGGGCGUAAAGCGCACGCAGGUGGUUUGUUAAGCUAGAUGUGAAAGCCCAGGGCUCAACCUUGGAAUAGCAUUUAGAACUGGCAGGCUAGAGUCUUGGAGAGGGGAGUGGAAUUCCAGGUGUAGCGGUGAAAUGCGUAGAGAUCUGGAGGAACAUCAGUGGCGAAGGCGACUCCCUGGCCAAAGACUGACACUCAUGUGCGAAAGUGUGGGUAGCGAACAGGAUUAGAUACCCUGGUAGU
rnacentral:rRNA from 1 species